rnacentral:lncRNA from 1 species
AUGACAACAAUUAUUUUUCCUCAUAUUAAAGUGACCAUCACCAUGGUCAAUAGUAUAUGCAGUAGAUCACAUAAUUACCAUGUCCCAGCAUCUGAAGUGUCUUAUGUUGACAGGGAAUGCCUGGACCAAGGGGACCCCUCGGGUUCCCAGGGCCAUCGGGACCUUUGGUCAGUGUCAGGAGCGUCACUAGGUGACCGGUAUCCAUGCACAGUAUAUUACAUCUGGACACAUUAAUAUUUUUAUUGUUUUUAGGGAGACAUCGGUGCUCCAGGCUUUAGUGGGCCACCAGGCCCAGGUGUAAGUUACACAGCUCAGUACAAAUCAUCAUACUGUAUCAUUUAUCACCAGUUAAUUAGCAUUUUUCCUCAGGGAAAACUAGGCCCCACAGGAGUAAAAGGUGCAGUAGGAGUUAAGGGACCACCAGUAAGUCAACUACUAUUCAAUCAGGUUUUAAUCCAAACGGUUUAUUAAAAAUUGUUUACUUAUUGAUGAUUAAAUGUCAACAGGGCCAUCAAGGUGAACUGGGUGCCAGAGGACCAGCUGGACCUCAGGGAGAAACUGGAUCUGGUGGAACAACUGGAUUUCCUGGUGUCCGGGGUCCCCAGGGCAACCCAGGACCAGAUGGACCUCCAGGUCAUAAAGGCGACACUGUAGGUAUAUUUAAAGGAAAAUACUGUAAUGCUUUGUUAAUUUGCAGUUAUCAUUUGUUACUUUCUAUGUUUUCUGCCUGUUUGUGUUCAUCAGGGUGA